AGAGUUUGAUCCUGGCUCAGGAUGAACGCUGGCGGCGUGCUUAACACAUGCAAGUCGAACGAACCUUCGGGUUAGUGGCGGACGGGUGAGUAACGCGUGAGAAUCUGCCCUCAGGAGGGGGAUAACGGUUGGAAACGACCGCUAAUACCCCAUAUGCCUACUGGUGAAAUGAAUUUCGCCUGAGGAUGAGCUCGCGUCUGAUUAGCUAGUUGGUGAGGUAAUGGCUCACCAAGGCUUCGAUCAGUAGCUGGUCUGAGAGGAUGAUCAGCCACACUGGGACUGAGACACGGCCCAGACUCCUACGGGAGGCAGCAGUGGGGAAUUUUCCGCAAUGGGCGAAAGCCUGACGGAGCAACGCCGCGUGAGGGACGAAGGCCUCUGGGCUGUAAACCUCUUUUCUCAAGGAAGAAGAUAUGACGGUACUUGAGGAAUAAGCCACGGCUAAUUCCGUGCCAGCCGCCGCGGUAAUAC
rnacentral:rRNA from 1 species